AAACAUGUGUUCUCGCUCUCAGCUGACCACUUUUUUGGCCGAAAUAGGCCAUGGACACUAGGAGAGCGUGAGAAGCCUUUUUGAAAAGACCUUGAGAUGGCGAAAAAAAGAAGACGCACGAAU
ensembl:snoRNA F48A9.6 ncRNA